UGGGGAAUAUUGCACAAUGGGGGAAACCCUGAUGCAGCGACGCCGCGUGGAGGAAGAAGGUCUUCGGAUUGUAAACUCCUGUUGUUGAGGAAAAAGAGGAUGGUACUCAACAAGGAAGUGACGGCUAACUACGUGCCAGCAGCCGCGGUAAAACGUAGGUCACAAGCGUUGUCCGGAAUUACUGGGUGUAAAGGGAGCGCAGGCGGGUAUGCAAGUUGGGAGUGAAAUACAUGGGCUCAACCCAUGAACUGCUCUCAAAACUGUGUAUCUUGAGUAGUGCAGAGGUAGGCGGAAUUCCCGGUGUAGCGGUGGAAUGCGUAGAUAUCGGGAGGAACACCAGUGGCGAAGGCGGCCUACUGGGCACCAACUGACGCUGAGGCUCGAAAGUGUGGGUAGCAAACAGG
rnacentral:rRNA from 1 species